CCUGGCUCAGGAUGAACGCUAGCUACAGGCUUAACACAUGCAAGUCGAGGGCAGCAUGGGAUAGCUGCUAUUCAGAUGGCGACCGGCGCACGGGUGAGUAACGCGUAUCCAACCUUCCUGCCAGUAGGGAACAGCCCGGCGAAAGUCGGAUUAAUGCCCUAUGUUCUUCAAUGCGGACAUCUAAGUUGAAGGAAAGAUUCAUCGCUGGCAGAUGGGGAUGCGUCCGAUUAGCUUGCCGGCGGGGUAACGGCCCACCGGGGCGACGAUCGGUAGGGGUUCUGAGAGGAAGGUCCCCCACACUGGUACUGAGACACGGACCAGACUCCUACGGGAGGCAGCAGUGAGGAAUAUUGGUCAAUGGGCGUAAGCCUGAACCAGCCAAGUAGCGUGCAAGGACGACGGCCCUACGGGUUGUAAACUGCUUUUAUGCGGGGAUAAAGUGCGGCACGUGUGCCGCUUUGCAGGUACCGCAUGAAUAAGGACCGGCUAAUUCCGUGCCAGCCGCUGC
rnacentral:rRNA from 1 species